UUAAACAAAUACCAUAAAAAAACAGAGUUGGAAUGAUACAGAGAAGAGUUGCAUGGCACCAGUUCAAGGUUGACAAACAAAUUAAUGGAACACUUCAUGUUUUU